CGGCGAAAGCCGGAUUAAUACCGCAUGAGCCCGAGAGGGGAAAGUGGGGGACCGCAAGGCCUCACGCGAUUGGAUUGGCCGAUGUCCGAUUAGCUAGUUGGCGGGGUAAGAGCCCACCAAGGCGAUGAUCGGUAGCUGGUCUGAGAGGAUGAUCAGCCACACUGGGACUGAGACACGGCCCAGACUCCUACGGGAGGCAGCAGUGGGGAAUUUUGGACAAUGGGGGCAACCCUGAUCCAGCCAUUCCGCGUGAGUGAAGAAGGCCUUCGGGUUGUAAAGCUCUUUUGUCCGGAACGAAACGGUUCGCGUGAAUAUCGCGGGCUACUGACGGUACCGGAAGAAUAAGCACC
rnacentral:rRNA from 1 species